rnacentral:tRNA from 2 species
AGGGGUAUAGCCAAGUUGGUAAGGCAAUAGGUUUUGAUCCUAUGUACCGGGAGUUCGAGUCUCUCUACCCCUUCCA